rnacentral:lncRNA from 1 species
CACAUAUGAUGCUCCUUUAGAUAUAAAUACAGAACGUUAAGGCACAUUGGAGAAAGGAAAAACAUUACCUGAUACCUUUGUGACUUACAGUCUACAGAACUCAAGCCAACAGAACCAUGUCUGGAGUCAAGGGACAGAAGAAAUGCCCAGACCCAUGCCCAGAGCCUUGCCCACCACCAUGCCCUCCACCACAGCAAUGCCAGGAUCGUAAGUAACAUUUUUAUUUGUAAUCUGAAACAUAAUUUUACAUUUAGAAAGUUAUAAGGUCAUAUUCUUAUAAUUAUGUUUAUUUUUGUUUUCUGUUAUAGCCUGUGACCCAUGCCCUAAGCCAGUUCCACAAUGCCAAGGUAUGUAAAGUUGUGCUCCCAUUCAAUAUUUCAGUUAUAUCGUUACUGUAAGGGUAUAUCAUGUAUUCUCAACACACAAAAGAAAAACGGAAAUGCUUUAAUGGUUGAUACAACUAGAUGUCUGUUCGUCCUCCGACUGUAAAGCGCCGCGGAAUUUGUUGGCUCUAUUUAAAUAAUAACAUAAUAAUAAUAAUAAUAAUAAUAAUAAAAAUAAAGUUAUGUUGAAGAGUGACAAAGUUAUGGAUAGUAUGAAGAUCCUAACAGCAAGAACACAGAGGACAAAAACAUUAUCUAAAUAACAAAUAUACUCUUAAUAUGAAGAAGAAACAAUAAUGAUUAAAGUCUUUACCGCAAGGCAAUGGACAGAUUAGAUGGGCCAAUAAGUUUUUUUACGCUGCUAAUUUUUUAAAAAAAAUUUAAAAGUGUGUAUUCACUAAGAUACAAAUUGUUUACAAUUACCCAACUGAUGAUAAUAGUUUCCUAGUUUGGGUUUCCACUGUUGUAAGCCUGGUUACAAUACAAAGGUAAGAGUUUGUAAUGAUGAUGUUAUCAGUACAAUAGAUUCUGUUAUCGUCCCCAGUAAUAGGUUUUAAUUAACAAACGUUAUGUUUUCAGGAGAAAAAAUGUUUGGUGAAUACAUGUUUUUUUUCUUUUAUCUGUAAAAGAAUCUAAAUUUUAAAAUACUUUUUGGAACAUCCAAUGUCUGUAAAGACAAAACAGUUUGUUUCGUGUUUUGUCCUAAUUUUUAUUCAGGCGCUAAAAUCACCUAACUGCGCCCUUAAUAAGAAUUCUUAUUUUUUGUAUGUUUGCUGGAAAAAAAAACCUGUAUGUUCACCUGUUUUACACAUAUUAUAUAGGGAGAUUUGAAGAUCUCGUAACUUUAGAAUGGUUAAUCACUUAAUCAUACUUCUUAUCCUUUCAAUUACAUUGUGAAAAUUUUACAAGGCAUUGAGUAGAGAUAAUUAGAAAUAUGACUAACCCAUGAUAAACAUUUUUUAUUUUGUCUCACCAUAAUGUGUCCAUUUUCUCUCUAGAUCCCUGUAAACCGGCUCCACAGCAGUGUCAGCAGGAUGUGAAAUGUGUGAAGAAGUGUUAAUAAGAAGGAACCGUGUUAUGGAGAAAAUGUCCAUUGCUUGGACAUUACUCUGAUCAUCUAAAUAAUUUUAACUUAAUUGUGCUGUAUGUGAUUUCUAUGUGAAAGCUUGUAUCUUGUCGUAAAGAUGAAUUUUACAAUUUGUCACUGAACCAAUAAAUCUGAAUUAAAAUGGAAUCUGAAUCAAACUGAA